rnacentral:misc_RNA from 1 species
UCUCCGUUGGUGAACCAGCGGAGGGAUCAUUACCGAGUUUACAACUCCCAAACCCAUGUGAACAUACCUACUGUUGCUUCGGCGGGAUUGCCCCGGGCGCCUCGUGUGCCCCGGAUCAGGCGCCCGCCUAGGAACUCUAACUCUUGUUUUAUUUUGAAUCUUCUGAGUAGUUUUUACAAAUAAAUAAAAACUAUCAACAACGGAUCUCUUGGUUCUGGCAUCGAUGAAGAACGCAGC